rnacentral:pre_miRNA from 9 species
UCUCGAUAACGUAAACGUUAAUUCAAAUUUGUAUGGAGUUGGAAUGUUUACGUAAGUUUGCCGCUAGGGGCGCUGUUCCAACUGCAUACAAAUUCUAGGUUACCUUUUACGCUAUCGA